AAGUCGUAACAAGGUUUCCGUAGGUGAACCUGCGGAAGGAUCAUUACAAAUAAAGCUGGUAGGAAGUGGGGUCGUUGAUCUGGUAAGUCGGUACGGAGCAGAACAAGUUCCGGCUGCCUUACCCCGGAAAUGUCUUUACGUGUCCCCCAACAGACCUUGAAUGGCCAGAAUUACAACCCUUAGAUUAUCUACACUUGUUAGCUUUGGGGAUGCAUCAGUUGCCCCAGAGGACCCAACUCUCUUGCAUUUAGUGACGUCUGAGUACUAUAUAAUAUUUAAAA
rnacentral:misc_RNA from 1 species